rnacentral:rRNA from 1 species
AGUGAACGCUGGCGGUAGGCCUAACACAUGCAAGUCGAACGGCAGCACAGUAAGAGCUUGCUCUUACGGGUGGCGAGUGGCGGACGGGUGAGGAAUACAUCGGAAUCUACUUUUUCGUGGGGGAUAACGUAGGGAAACUUACGCUAAUACCGCAUACGACCUACGGGUGAAAGCAGGGGAUCUUCGGACCUUGCGCGAUUGAAUGAGCCGAUGUCGGAUUAGCUAGUUGGCGGGGUAAAGGCCCACCAAGGCGACGAUCCGUAGCUGGUCUGAGAGGAUGAUCAGCCAAACGGGAACUGAGACACGGUCCAGAUUCCUACGGGAGGAGGCAGUGGGGAAUAUUGGACAAUGGGGGCAAGCCUGAUCCAGCAAUCCCGCGUGGGUGAAGAAGGCUUUCGGUUUGUAAACCCUUUUUGUUGGGAAAGAAAAGCAGCAGGUUAAUACCCCGCUGUUCUGACGGUACCCAAAGAAUAAGCACCGGCUAACUUCGUG